GCAACAAACACAUGUUUUGUCAUGUGGUCACUCCUGUUACAGUCAGAACAGAGCACUAGGAGACCAGCUAAAUCUGAGUGUUCCUACAUUCUGAACUGAAUGGCUUGGCAUUGACAUAUUUUUAUGAAUUGAAACUUGGACUUUACUGUAGACAACCACUUGUCUAGAAGAUUAGUAACAAGCUUUCAACUGUAAUUAUGGUAUACAAAGGGGGACUGAUAUUAAUCAUUAUUUGCGUAUCCAUUUGCUUUUAUGAAAGUAAAGAAGUGGUUUCUAAAUCAGCACAUCCUGGAAAUCAUAUAACAGAUACUCCACAGUCGAAAACAUCUGUGAAGAUACCUAGAAUUUCAACCAUACGAAGACUCUUUGAUGUAAAAAGACACAGAAUAAAGAGAUCUUCGGUUUUCCCAGCAGGAGUUAAAGUAUGUCCCCAGGAGUCUUUAAAACAAGUUCUUGACAGUCAUCUGGCAUACUACAAACUAAGAGUUUGUCAGGAGGCAGUGUGGGAAGCCUAUCGGAUCUUUUUAGAUCGGAUUCCUCAGACAGCCGAAUACCAGAGCUGGGUGGAUGUUUGCCAGCAAGAAUCCUUUUGUAUUUUUGAAAUUGGAAAGAACUUCAGCAGUCUCCAAGAACAUUCAGAAAUUAUACAGCAGAGAGUUAAACAUAAGGCAUUUACAGAAAGGAAAGAUGAAAUGAUUACAGAAACUACUUUGUCUCCUGCUGUUAUUGAGGAUUCAUCAUUUUCUACAAAUGACCUAUCCAUGUCGCUUGAAACCUUGAAUGAUACACUUUUAAAUGAAAUCAUGAAUGACAAAAAGGAACCUCUAAAGGAACUUGAAGUAACAAAUCUUGUUCCUGAACAGCCAGUGCAGCAGACUGUGGAAUUCACUGUCACUCUCACAAAACAGGAAUUUACAGAUGAAUUGAGUGAUCCAAAUUCACCACAAUACCAAGAAUUAGCCAGAAAUUCUCAACUCCAGAUGGAAAAGGUGUUUGACAAACUCCCGGGCUUCAAAGAAAUACGGGUCCUAAGAUUUAGACCGAAGAAGGAAAAUGAUGGAUCUGAUAGCAUUGUAGUAGGUUAUGCUGUAGUCUUUGAAAGAAGCUUGGACUCUAAAAAUAACAUUGAUGAGACUCCUACUAUCACAUCUAACAAUGUUGAGAAUGGCAAUAUACAAGAGCCAAAAGAAAUGUCAUACACUGUGACAGAACUGCAAAACAUGGUUGCUAUGGCACUGUGGGAUGAUCACUCUUUACCUGUGGACCUCCAAACGCUUUUGUUUGCUGAUGAUCCAGAGAAAUCAUUUGGUGUUUCAGAAACUGAUACUGAAGCUCUGAUGACCAUACCACCAUCCAAAAUAAAGGGUGAAGCUGUAAAUUCUGAGCAGCCACUGGUUCAUCCUAUUGAAGUGACAACAGAACAGGAUUUCAGCAUUCUUUCGAGUUUUUUAACAGCACAUGUGCCCACAGAAGGCCUAGCAACACUGCAGACCAAUAUCAGUCAAAUGAGUGCAGACCAAUAUCAGUCAAAUGAGGACCAUCAACUUGUACCAGUGGAAAAUAAUUCUCAUUCUUCAGACAUAAACGUCGAUGAAGCUAAUGCUGUGCCUUUCAGUGAUUCACAUAUCAAUGAAACUGAUAUCAAUGACCUAGAAAUAACAUCAAAUAAAAAUGUAGUCUUUACACCAAAUUAUCAGUUGUCUUAUAGCAAUUCAGCAGACUCAGAACUUAUAUAUUUUAAUGAAGAUGAUCUUGUUUUGGUUUAUUCAACAGUUUUACCUGAUACUGAAAGCUCUGCGCUAACUGAACAAUCUAAACACAAAGAGGAAGACAGCAAGGAGUUCAAUGCAAUCAUGUUUAGCAACACAACUGAUCUAGAACUUUUAAAUACAGCAGACCUCCUAGAAAUAUCUGGUGAUUUUACACUGAAGCACUCAAGCACUGAAGGUGUUCCUGGUCAGAUAACCUUGGGCCAAAUUAGUGAGGGAGAGUCUUCUGUGGAAACAUACACUACUCCUGCUUAUCAUUUUGUGGACAUGAAGAAUAUCACAGAUUCUUUGUUGGACAAUUUUAUUGGAGAAGAUAAAAAACAUAUAUAUGAGAUGAACCCAUCGGGUGAUUAUGAAGAGGACCUAUCUUAUUCUCCUUCCAUGCUCACUUCAACACAUUCUGCAUCCAUGGUGUCCGAAGAUAGCACCUCACCUACAGUUUCACUUUCUGCUAGUACAAUUAAAACAUUGUCUGCUUACAUAGAAUCAAGUGAUAUAAUCUCUACCACACCAAGCACUGGAAUGCAGUUCCAUGGAUCUACAUUAGACAAGCCAAAUGAAAGCUUUCAGCCGACCGAUGUUUAUGAAGUGACUAGCCUACCGACCACACCAAUUUAUGUGGAGGUUAGUGAGAAAAACACACUGACAACUUCUCAAAUGAUCCUACCAAAUAUUCCUGAAGAAAAUCAAUAUAAUAUUACCACUGCAAAUCUCCAAGGUGCCAUGACAAGUCCACCAGUGACAGCGGUAGACAUUUCUAACAUUGAUGAUCCAGCUGUGACUGAAUUGAGUUUCCUAACACCAGUUUCAACAGAUGACAUAAGUGAAAUGACCCUCGCAUCAAAAAGUCUAGUAUAUGACAUUACAACCGUACUUGACAAAGCUACUAUAAAAAGUACAGAUGAAAAUGAAUAUAAUAUUGAAGAAAUAUCAGGUGACGACAGCUUCUUCAGUUUGACCUCUCAAUCAUCUGCCUUGGAGCAUUCAACAAUUGGCUCUGAUGCUACAGUCAACAAAGGCAAUGAACUUGUGGUGUUCUUCAGCCUCCGUGUAACAAACAUGCCCUUUUCUGAUGAUUUAUUCAAUAAAAGUUCCCCGGAAUAUAAGGCACUAGAACAACAAUUUUUAUACCUGCUGCUCCCUUAUCUUCAAUCGAAUCUAACAGGCUUUAAGGAAAUGGAAAUCCUGAACUUCAGAAAGGGAAGCGUGAUUGUGAACAGCAAGUUGAAGUUUGCUAAAUCCGUGCCCUACAAUGUCACAAAAGCUGUUCACUGUGUGCUGGAAGAUUUUUGCAAUGCGGCAGCGCAGCGCCUGAAUUUAAAGAUUGAUAGUCACUCACUUGAUAUUGAACCUGCUGACCAUGCAGAUCCAUGCAAAUUUAUGGCAUGUGAUGAAUUUUCAGAAUGUUCAAUAAACCCCAGAACAAAAGAGGCAGCCUGCCUGUGUAAAGCUGGUUACAAAAGCCUCGAUGGGCUACCAUGCCAAAGUGUCUGUGAACUGGAACCAAACUAUUGUGCUGAUGGACAAACUUGUGAAAUUGUAAAGGGGCAAGGUGCAGUUUGCAGAUGUCUCAAAGUUAAACACUGGUUUUACAGUGGAGACCAUUGUUCUGAGAUUGCAGUACAGAAUGUAAGCAUCAUGGUUAUAAUAGCUUCACUUGGAACUCUGGUUAUGGGGUUUAUGCUCAUCAGACUUGCCAAAAUGUACGGAGGACACAACAACCACAAGUCACAAAAUGAAAUAAAUGUCAGCAGCCACAGACUCCUGAAUUCUGGAAAAAUAAGCCCAGCAUUUAACCAUGAUGAAAGUGAAAGUAUGAAAACACGUUACACCACUACAAGUGCCUGCAACAGCCCUGCCAGGGCCACUGAUCAUAGAGGGCUGCACACACUUCAACACACGCAGCCAAGUGUUAGGAGGUUACCAGAAGUUUCUACUGAACCAAAACUGAAAACUGGAGUAUGAAAUUUUUUCACAGGUUGGCAGUGUCAUUAUUAAUUGUAGAGAAAAAAAAUACAGAUUGACCUUCUACAACCAAGGAAGAUAACAAGACCUUUUAAGAACAGAUACAUUGUUUUGUUGUUGUUUCUCUUUUGUCCCAGGAAAAAAAAGUUCCAGAAAUCAUAUAUUUAUCCCCAUGUACAAAUAAUAAAACCAAUUAAAAAGAAUAAACAUUAGUAAUUUUUGUUAGCGGUGAUUACAAAAAUGGGGCUUUGGAAAAGUUACCUGUUCCACUAUUCCAUGUCUAGUGUAAACAAUCAAUAAAACAAAACAAAGUAU